rnacentral:rRNA from 1 species
UACGUAGGCAGCAAGCGUUUGUUCGGAGUUACUGGGCGUAAAGAGUGCGUAGGCGGUGUCGAAAGUUUGGCGUGAAAUCUCCCGCUUAACUGGGAGGGUGCGCCGAAAACUGCGAUGCUGGAGUGUGGGAAAGGCAAGCGGAAUUCCUGGUGUAGCGGUGAAAUGCGUAGAUAUCAGGAGGAACACCGGCGGUGUAGACGGCUUGCUAGACCAUAACUGACGCUGAGGCACGAAAGCGUGGGUAGCAAACAGG